AAAGAGAAAUUACUUAAAGUGAUUUGGGUAGGUGAACUGCCCUGAUCAUUUAAUGCUGGCUCUCUGGAUUCUUGACAGGGUGAUUUGGCCAGUGAUUUGGGCAAAUCACUUGGCCAGAUCACUUUCUUCCUUGCGGUUGCUUGGCUGGUACUGUUCACGUGACUGUUCACGCCUCUUCUAAUGAUGUGCUUGAUUUGGCGAUUUGGCCUGGUGAUUUGGUCAAAUCACCUGGGCAAAUCACUUCUUUGGUGCAACUGCCUUGUUGAUCUUGUUCUUUCUGGGAUGAACCCUGUCGAUUUGGCCUAUCGAUUUGGGCAAAUCACUGCCCCAAUCACUCGUGACUAAAGUACAUGUGGUCUAUUUGCCCCAGUGAUUUGGGCAAAUCACCUCAUCUGGGUUGCCUCCCAGUAGCGCCCUAGUUUAAAG
rnacentral:lncRNA from 1 species